rnacentral:tmRNA from 1 species
GGGGAUGAAAACAGUCGAAGGAAAAAAGAUUUUUAGAAUAGCUUUUCGGUUAAGGAACCGCUAAUCCUUGAAAUUAUAAAUGCCAAUAAACAAUUAGCAUUUGCUGUUGCUUAAAAAAGCAACCGCGGCCUUACUCUGAAAUUUCUGCUAUCAAGUAUGGUCUAAAACAUAGUUCAACCCAAACGUUGAGCAAGCAGGAUACAAUGAUUUGAGUGCCCGAUUCAAGUCAUUUAACAAAACGGGCUUUGGUUUAAGAAAUUUUUUCUAGUUAUCUUCCUAAACCAAGAAAAAAAACUAGAAUACAAAAGUAGACGUUCUAAAUAAUCAUUUUUUCUGACGCGGGUGAAAGACCCGCCAUCUCCACCA